UACAGAGGUCCCAAGCGUUGUUCGGAUUCACUGGGCGUAAAGGGUGCGUAGGUGGUUGGGUAAGUCUGAUGUGAAAUCCCGGGGCUCAACCCCGGAACUGCAUUCGAUACUGCUGCGCUAGAGUACUGGAGAGGAGAUUGGAAUUUACGGUGUAGCAGUGAAAUGCGUAGAUAUCGUAAGGAAGACCAGUGGCGAAGGCGGAUCUCUGGACAGUUACUGACACUGAGGCACGAAGGCCAGGGGAGCAAACGGG
rnacentral:rRNA from 1 species